UACGAAGGGUGCAAGCGUUACUCGGAAUUACUGGGCGUAAAGCGUGCGUAGGUGGUUUGUUAAGUCUGUUGUGAAAGCCUCGGGCUCAACCUGGGAAUGGCAAUGGAUACUGGCAGGCUAGAGUGCGGUAGAGGGUAGUGGAAUUCCCGGUGUAGCGGUGAAAUGCGUAGAGAUCGGGAGGAACACCAGUGGCGAAGGCGGCUACCUGGACCAGCACUGACACUGAGGCACGAAAGCGUGGGGAGCAAACAGG
rnacentral:rRNA from 1 species